CCCCCCUCACGCGCCCCGUUGCGCGCUGGUGUUGGGGCUCCUCCGCCUGGCGGAGGGCCCCGAAAGCGAGUGGCGGGCCCGGCUGGUUGGCUCCGAGCGCAGUACUGGACGCAAGUUCUCUCCCCUCGCUCAGACGCCCCGCCGGCGCCCUGCCGUCAAAACGCGCAUGACGUGCAACUCUUACAAGG
rnacentral:misc_RNA from 1 species